rnacentral:misc_RNA from 1 species
CCGAGUUAUACGAAGCUCCCAAACCCACUGUGAACCUUACCUCUCCGUUGCUUCGGCGGGACAGCCCCGGGCCCCCGGCCCGGAACCAGGCGCCCGCCGGAGGCCCUCAACCUCCUGCCUCUACCGUCGGAACCCUUCUGAGUGGCCCUCAGCGGCCGAAAAACAAAAAUGAAUCA